rnacentral:rRNA from 1 species
UACGAAGGGGGCUAGCGUUGUUCGGAAUUACUGGGCGUAAAGCGCGUGUAGGCGGGUCUUUAAGUCAGGGGUGAAAUGCCAAGGCUCAACCUUGGAACUGCCUUUGAUACUGGAGAUCUUGAGUCCGGGAGAGGUGAGUGGAAUUGCGAGUGUAGAGGUGAAAUUCGUAGAUAUUCGCAAGAACACCAGUGGCGAAGGCGGCUCACUGGCCCGGUACUGACGCUGAGGUGCGAAAGCGUGGGGAGCAAACAGG